AUUGAACGCUGGCGGCAGGCCUAACACAUGCAAGUCGAGCGGAGCGGCGGACGGGUGAGUAAUGCCUAGGAAUCUGCCUGGUAGUGGGGGAUAACGUCCGGAAACGGGCGCUAAUACCGCAUACUAUCAGAUGAGCCUAGGUCGGAUUAGCUAGUUGGUGGGGUAAAGGCCUACCAAGGCGACGAUCCGUAACUGGUUUGAGAGGAUGAUCAGUCAACCUGGAAAUGGGACACGGUCCAGCGGCCUACGGGAGUGGGCAGUGGGGGAUAUUGGACAAUGGGCGAAAGCCGGAUUCAGCGACGCCGGGUGGGGGAUGAAGGCUUUCGGGUUGUAAACCUCUUUCGCUAACGAACGGGUAGGUGGAGAAGAAGCGCCGGCUAACUACGUGCCAGCAGCCGCGGUAAUAC
rnacentral:rRNA from 1 species